CAUAUCAAUAAGCGGAGGAAAAGAAACCAACAGGGAUUGCCCUAGUAACGGCGAGUGAAGCGGCAACAGCUCAAAUUUGAAAUCUGGCCUCGGCCCGAGUUGUAAUUUGCAGAGGAUGUUUCUGGCGCGGUGCCUUCCGAGUUCCCUGGAACGGGACGCCAAAGAGGGUGAGAGCCCCGUAUGGUCGGACACCAAGCCUGUGUGAAACUCCUUCGACGAGUCGAGUAGUUUGGGAAUGCUGCUCUAAAUGGGAGGUAAAUCUCUUCUAAAGCUAAAUACCGGCCAGAGACCGAUAGCGCACAAGUAGAGUGAUCGAAAGAUGAAAAGCACCUUGAAAAGGGGGUUAAAUAGUACGUGAAAUUGUUGAAAGGGAAGCACUUAUGACCAGACUUGGGCCGGGCGGCUCAUCAGGGGUUCUCCCCUGUGCACUCCGCCCGGCACAGGCCAGCAUCGGUUCUCGUGGGGGGAUAAGACCGUCAGGAACGUAGCACCCUCCGGGGUGUGUUAUAGCCUGGCGGACGAUACCCUCGUGGGGACCGAGGUUCGCGCUCCGCAAGGAUGCUGGCGUAAUGGUCAUCAGUGACCCGUCUUGAAACACGGACCAAGGAGUCGUCCAUUAGAGCGAGCGUUUGGGUGUAAAACCCGCACGCGUAAUGAAAGUGAACGCAGGUGAGAGCUUCGGCGCAUCAUCGACCGAUCCUGAUGUUCUCGGAAGGAUUUGAGUAAGAGUUUUAACGGACGGACCCGAAAGACAGUGAACUAUGCUUGUAUAGGGUGAAGCCAGAGGAAACUCUGGUGGAGGCUCGCAGCGGUUCUGACGUGCAAAUCGAUCGUCAAAUAUGA
rnacentral:rRNA from 1 species